rnacentral:rRNA from 1 species
GAUGAACGCUGGCGGCGUGCCUAAUACAUGCAAGUCGAGCGAACAGACGAGGAGCUUUCUCCUCUGACGUUAGCGGCGGACGGGUGAGUAACACGUGGAUAACCUACCUAUAAGACUGGGAUAACUUCGGGAAACCGGAUCUAAUACCGGAUAAUAUAUUGAACCGCAUGGUUCAAUAGUGGAAGACGGUUUUGCUGUCACUUAUAGAUGGAUCCGCCCCGCAUUAGCUAGUUGGUAAGGUAACGGCUUACCAAGGCGACGAUGCGUAGCCGACCUGAGAGGGUGAACCGACACACUGGCACAGAGAAACGGUACAGACACCUGCGGUAGGACGCAGUACAGAAUCUUACGGGAGGGGCGAAAGCCUGACAGAGCACAGCCGCGUGAGUGAUGAAGGUCUUCGGAUCGUAAAACUAUGAUAUUAGGGAAGAACAAAUGUGUAAGUAACUAUGCACAUAUUGACGGUACCUAAUCAAAAAGCCACGGCUAACUACGUG